rfam:Aedes albopictus isolate Foshan contig140313, whole genome shotgun sequence.
UAAAAGGUCCUUUUCAGGACCAGUGAAAAUUAUUCAAAUUAUUGU